rnacentral:lncRNA from 1 species
UUAACUAGCUAGAUAGCUACUCCAUACUAGAUAUCCUGGAUAUCAGACUUUAAUCCCUAUGGUAUGUCCUUUGUGUUACUCAAACGUACUUAUAUUGAAUACUUAAUACUAAAGGUCUAUACAUUUGUGAUUGUAUUCGUUCAUAUCUUACCCUUGGGACCGGUGGGGGCGUGCUUUUCUACAUAGAAGUUACUGAAUUAUUGUUUGUUAGGCCGGUUGCUUUUAUUUAUUUAUUAUUAGUAGUAGGGGGUAAUCUUUGAAGUAAAAUAUGACAUAUUAUUUUCAUAGAUAUUUGUCAUUUAUAUGUAAUACAUAUUUUGUAAGAUAAAUGUUGUCUUUUUUAUACGAAUUCAUCUUAAUCCGGAUUUAGAGUCGAUAUAUAUUAUUUGAAUUGUAAUAACUAAUUAUUUGGUUAAUAAAAUAGUAACUAAUACGUAUUGCUUGAUUAAUAAAACGAUAUUAUAUACAACGUGGGAUUCUGGAACUUAGUAUACGUGUAACAUUCUUAUUCAUUUUCUGAUGAAAUAAGUCUAUGUGUUUACAAUAGUUGAUAUUAUAUUCCGUAGUUGUAUGUAUUCAAGAAUAGAUCUUACAAAAUGUAUUGCUGCUGUCUUGGUUGCAAUUCAAGCACCAAAGUCAAGCGAGGAUCUUCUGUUCAUGAAUUUGAACCUGAAGAUCAAAAUGUGAACAAUGUUUUAUCCUAUUUGAGUUGUUAUAAAGAAGAAACGGAGUAAUUUUUUAUUUUAGAGGAUAUCUAGAUGUCCUCGAUAACUUCAAGGAAAAAAGUAAUCAUCUUGAAUUUAUACAAGAGCAGCUAUUUCUUCAUUAAAAAACUCCAUAUGGUAGGAUAUAUUCUUCAAAAAAACUUAUCAAAAGAUUCACCAGCGUUUUAUCUAUGGAAGCAGGAAUAGAUAACUCAAGAUCUGAUUAUUUGAGUUAUAAAAUAGCUUUGCUCGAUGCUAAGGACAGAAAUGUCUCUAUAUCAUCAUAGACAAGGUCAAAGAGUUAAAUUAUUGGGUGGAAAGCUCAACGGAUAUGACAAUAAUAGAUCGACCUAAAUAAUCUUGUGUUUUAUGUUUAAAAGUGUCCUAGGCAGAUAUAACGACGUAGUUGUUAUGGUUCCUCUAUCGAGAAUUAAUUUAAAAGUUAUGAAAAAAUGUUUCUUCAACUUGUUACUGAAUUCGGGUUUAGAACAGUCACCAUCCUGACUGAUGGACAUUCGAUCAACCAUAUCUUUUUAAACAACAAAUUAGGAAAUUAUUUUACCCCACUCCAUAUUGAAAAUCCGUUCUGCACCCCAAAAGAAAAGAUAGUCUUAUUAUUUGAUUCAAUCCAUAGUUUCAAAAAAUUCUACAAUAACCUAAUAAAUAGGAAACUUUUAUCUUUUAAAAACCAUGAUGAAAAAUUGGAAGCUCAUUCUCACCAUGUUGUCGAAAUUUAUCAAAAAGAAAUAGGGUUAGGAAUCAAAUGUACACAUCAACUUUCUCACCAAGUU